rnacentral:tRNA from 2 species
CGCGGGGUAGAGAAGUGGUAUCUCGGGAGUCUCAUAAGCUCCAGACGGAGGUCCGAAUCCUCCCCCCGCUACCA